rnacentral:RNase_P_RNA from 1 species
GCAGCAGGCUGGACGACCGUCGGUCGGGUAACCGCGCAAGCGAAGUGCCCGUCCGGAGGAAAGUCCGAACUCCAGUGGGCAGUGCGCCGGGUAACGCCCGGGCAGGGCAACCUGACGGAACAGUGGCACAGAAAAUAUACCGCCCGUCGCGUCCGCAAGGAACGGCGGGUAAGGGUGAAAAGGUGCGGUAAGAGCGCACCGCGCCGGCGGCAACGUCGGUGGCAGGCAAAACCCCGCACGGAGCAAGACCAAAUAGGGUGGCGCGACAGGACGGCCCGUCCGAUGCCACCGGGUAGGUCGCUGGAGCGCGCGAGUAAUCGCGCGCCUAGAGGAAUGGUCGUUACGCGUCCGCCGGCGAUCGUCGUCGGCGGACGCGACAGAAUUCGGCUUACAGGCCCGCUGCGGCC